rnacentral:pre_miRNA from 1 species
CAAGUACUCCCUCCGUCCGGAAUUACUUGUCAUCAAAAUGGAUGUGUCUAGAACUAAAAUUCAUCUAGAUACAUCCAUUUCAAUGACAAGUAUUUUCGGACGGAGGGAGUACAAG